AACGAACGCUGGCGGCAUGCCUAAUACAUGCAAGUCGAACGAGAUCGUCGGAUCUAGUGGCGCACGGGUGCGUAACGCGUGGGAAUCUGCACGUGGGUACGGAAUAACUUCUGGAAACGGAAGCUAAUACCGGAUGAUGACGUAAGUCCAAAGAUUUAUUGCCCCAGGAUGAGCCCUCGUAGGAUUCGGUAGUUGGUGAGGUAAAGGCAGACCAUGCGGCGGUUCCUUACCUGGUGUGAGAGGAGGACCAGCUACACUGGGACUGAGACACGGCCGAGAAUGCUACGGAAGGGAGCAGUAGGGAACAUUGGACACUGGGGGAAGGUCUGAUCCAGCAAUGCCGGGUGAGUGAUGAAGGCCGUAGGGUUGUAAAGCUCUUUUACCCGGGAUGAUAAUGACAGUACCGGGAGAAUAAGCGCCGGCUAACUACGUG
rnacentral:rRNA from 1 species